ACAUGAGCUCUCUCCUUCUCCUGGAGCCACCGUUCUCACCUGCUGCCAUGCCUUCCCACCAUGAUGUGAUGGACUCAUCCCUCCGGAACCAUAAACCCAAUUAAACCUUUCUGCUUCAUGUGGAAGUAAUAAGGGUAUUAGUGCCCUCUGAAAACAGAUGCAGUUAUCCAACAAAAGUAGAUGAAGAAGUAAAAAAGAGUGAAGAAUAAAAUCGUGAGAAAUGAGAGCUAAAAAUGCAAAAAUAUACAAUGGGAAACACAGAGGAAUAACGACAGAAGAACCUCAAGAAAACGGAAGAAAACAUCGAGAAGGAACUUAAGAGCAAGUGAAAUGCAACAACAAGGCCAAGUAGAUCUAAAAAUGAAAAAGCCGCCAAAUCAUUUGGAAUUAAACGGCAGACAGUUGUACAUGUCUGAAUGAUUUAGUGUAGGGGAAGUAUAUACAUUUCAGAAAUAAUCAAAAUAUCGAGUUUUAUAUUUAUACACGUA